rnacentral:misc_RNA from 1 species
UCCGAGUUGACCCCGGCAGUCUCCUGCGAGUCCCCGCCAUUACGCGCUGGCAACACAGGACAAGGGUUGCGCUCGUUGCGGGACUUAACCCAACAUCUCACGACACGAGCUGACGACAGCCAUGCACCACCUGUGAUCCUGCCCCGAAGGGAAGCCGUGUUUCCACGGCGGUCAGGAACAUGUCAAGCCCAGGUAAGGUUCUUGGCGUUGCGUCCAAUUAAGCCACAUGCUCCGCCGCUUGUGCGGGUCCCCGUCAAUUCCUUUGAGUUUUAGUCUUGCGACCGUACUUCCCAGGCGGGGUACUUAUUGCGUUAGCUCCGGCUCAGCAGGGGUCAAGACCCACCAAGCCUAGUACCCAUCGUUUACGGCGUGGACUAC